rnacentral:rRNA from 1 species
UACGGGGGGAGCAAGCGUUGUUCGGAUUUACUGGGCGUAAAGCGUGCGCAGGCGGUAAUGUAAGACAGAUGUGAAAUCCCCGGGCUCAACCUGGGAACUGCAUUUGUGACUGCAUUGCUGGAGUGCGGCAGAGGGGGAUGGAAUUCCGCGUGUAGCAGUGAAAUGCGUAGAUAUGCGGAGGAACACCGAUGGCGAAGGCAAUCCCCUGGGCCUGCACUGACGCUCAUGCACGAAAGCGUGGGGAGCAAACAGG